UGGGGAAUAUUGGACAAUGGGCGCAAGCCUGAUCCAGCCAUGCCGCGUGAGUGAUGAAGGCCCUAGGGUUGUAAAGCUCUUUCACCGGUGAAGAUAAUGACGGUAACCGGAGAAGAAGCCCCGGCUAACUUCGUGCCAGCAGCCGCGGUAAUACGAAGGGGGCUAGCGUUGUUCGGAUUUACUGGGCGUAAAGCGCACGUAGGCGGACUUUUAAGUCAGGGGUGAAAUCCCGGGGCUCAACCCCGGAACUGCCUUUGAUACUGGAAGUCUUGAGUAUGGUAGAGGUGAGUGGAAUUCCGAGUGUAGAGGUGAAAUUCGUAGAUAUUGGGAGGAACACCAGUAGCGAAGGCGGCUCACUGGCUCGAUACUGACGCUGAGGUGCGAAAGCGUGGGGAGCAAACAGG
rnacentral:rRNA from 1 species